GACAGAGGGUGCAAACGUUGUUCGGAAUUACUGGGCGUAAAGCGCGUGUAGGCGGCUUGGCAAGUCGGGUGUGAAAGCCCUGGGCUCAACCCAGGAAGUGCACUCGAAACUGCUUCGCUCGAGUAUCGGAGAGGAAAGCGGAAUUCUCGGUGUAGAGGUGAAAUUCGUAGAUAUCGAGAGGAACACCGGUGGCGAAGGCGGCCUUCUGGACAGUGACUGACGCUGAGACGCGAAAGCGUGGGGAGCAAACAGG
rnacentral:rRNA from 1 species